rnacentral:lncRNA from 1 species
GCCUUAUUUAUCCAUCUUCUUGAAUCACCAUACAUUGUGCCUCAUCGUAAUAAAUAUUGAAAUGUUAUACCCCAUUCAUUAUGGCUGCCGUUAUGAUAGUCGGCUUUUGGUAGCAUUUUUCAUUUCAAUCAAAUUAGCAACAAAUUUAUUUUACCUACAUCUCUUAAAACGCUUUUAAAAAGUCAGUAAUUCCCAUUUCAAAUUUCUAAAACGUAUUUGGAACUCAAAUUGCGUUUAUUUCAAGCGUUCAUGUAUUGAAUAAUAUUUUGACAUUUUCGGGAUUUUAAUCAAAUAAAUAUCAGGCCAUCUUGAAAUAUUCUAGAACCUUCGGUUCCUUUGUUUAGUCGGCAAGAAUUCAAUCAAAUUAGCAACAACUUUUGUUUUUCCAUCCCUUGAAAUGCUAUUAAAAAUACAGUAAUUCCAAUUUCAAAUUUCUAAAACGUAUUAGGAACUCGAAUUGCGUUUAUUUCAAGCUUUCAUGUAUUGAAUAAUUUUUGACAUUUUCGGGAUUUUAAUCAAAUAUAGGCCUAUAUCAGGACAUCUUGAAAGAUUUUUCAACCUUCCGUACGUUUGUGCAGUCGUCAAGAAUUUGGGUGAAAGCCGGCCGGCCAUUGGCUGAGAAGCCCAGUUCACUUUGUUUGGAGCGCUGCGAUUGGCUCACUGAUUGGGGAUGUAGAGACAAGAUCGUGCAGGGUGCAGUCAGAGACGUGAUAGCUUCGUGGUAGCUGGUCAUCACAUCGUGUCCUACUAAUUUUCAUCGAUUGAUAUAUUUAAAUUACAGUUUAUUAUCAUUGCUUGUAUGAAUUAUGAAGCUAUUUCAAUGUCAUUAUUAGUGGUGUAAUUGAUUUUCCGGCUGUGUGAUAGUUUUGUGUAAAAUUUUAAUAUGAAGUGUCAAGUGAUGAGAACCCAAGGCCGUAACAGAGAUGUGUCAGCAACGCAUCGAUUGGAGCUUGGCUACUGAUUCACUCCUGUCAUGGACCACAGCUUUCUAGUAUGGCACUUGACAGGUGUGGACCAACAAAUUGGUGGAGGAGAGGAGAUACUUAAAGAGACGAGUUGUGCAAUGUAUUGGUGAAGCCUAGCAGCUUGGCACCUUGGUCUGAUGGAGCACACCCUUCAUCGCAGUGCGGACAGCGUGAGUGAGUCGACAGGCUUCUUCUUCUUCUUCUUCUUCUUCUUCUUCUUCUUCUUCUUCUUCUUCUUCUCCUGCUUCGUUCUCCGUAUCUCUUCUGCUACAUCAUUCUUAUAGCUGGAAGCUGACGACGAUUUGACGUUGUUUCACAAAACUGUGAGUUAGUUCUAGAUUUACCCCAGUUUGCACAAACGUCUGUUAACUUAUAAUGCCGAUUAAAUGCAGAUUGAUGAUUUAAUUUGAUUACAAUGAAAAUCUGCAGACUGCAAAACUUGAAUUUAAUUAAGUGUGUAGAUUUAAGAUUCAAGAUUUUGUGUAGAAAUUGAAAUGAACAUAACCUAUGUAUAAUACUUGGACAGUUUGAAACUAAAUUAGAGGAAGUUUUGGGCAAUAGCCUGUUUUUCUCUUUUCCGCUCAUUGAAUUGUUUGUGCUAACCUCAAUAAAUAAAUGCCACAUGUACCAAUCAGAGAAGCCUUCUUUAAAGAAAACCCUUCUCGGUUUGGUUCUCGUAGAAUUUAAUCGUGAUUAAAAUUUAACAGGCUUAUGUGCAACUGGGUCUUAGUGUAGAAUUAUCUGAAUGUCUAUAGUGAGGUCAAUGUUAUAAUGGCAGUGUUUAGUAUUGCUAUCCUUGUCUAUCAUUCAACAAAGCGGAUAGCGCUAUCUCUUGCUUUGCUUUGUUGCCAGAUCGUUUUUUAACAAUGU